UCCUGUCCAGGCAACUACUCCCUGAUUAUAACAAGCACAAUCUAGUUUCAAGUGGAGAAUCGCCAUGGGGCACUUGCUCUCCCUUCUGAGGUUCUGGCUGUGUUGCUAUGGCCCAGGGAGCUGUUGGCUGGGGAGAUGGCCUCAGUGAGCUUAUAGGUAAAUCCUAAACAAUCCAGCUUCCAUAAUGACAGCACUGGCUACAAAUAUUUGACUUUUUCAUCUCAGCAACUUAGCAAGGACCUGACUUUCCUUCUGUCUUCUGCUUUUUCUCCUUGGUUAAGUGAAAUUAUGUCUGAAAA